rnacentral:rRNA from 1 species
GGCAGCAGUGGGGAAUUUUGGACAAUGGGCGCAAGCCUGAUCCAGCCAUGCCGCGUGCAGGAUGAAGGCCUUCCGGUUGUAAACUGCAUUAGUACGGAACGAAAAGCCUUCUUCUAAUAAAGGGAGGUCAUGACGGUACCGUAAGAAUAAGCACCGGCUAACUACGUGCCAGCAGCCGCG